rnacentral:pre_miRNA from 1 species
AGUGGGAUAGCUGGGUCAUAUGGUAGUUUCAUCCCUAGUUUUUUUGAGGAAUCUCCAUACUGCUUUUCAGAGUGGAUGUACUAGUCUGCAGUCCCACCAACAGU